AGUACUGAGUUAACAGCCCGGGAGGCGAUCAUCAAGAUAAAUGUGCCACUAUCCCUCCUUCAACUAUAAACACCAUGUGAAUAGAGUUGACUUCUGUCUACUUCCAUGAGCUCUAGAGCAUCCACAAGCUCCUUACAAAUGAGACGUGAGUAUUCAUUGAAUGAAGGUGGGAUUCAGGUUGGUCAAUUUCUCCUGCGUCCCAAGCUUACUCUACUCUGUUAGGCUAUGGGAUAUUGGCAGAGGACUUUAAGGGAGGUGGGGUAUGGGGGAGGGUUAAGAAGUAAGGGAGGCAAGAAAAGCCAGUCUCCAUCCUCACCUUCCUUGCUCCCACUUCUCCAGGAUCAGAGCAUCAGUGGCAACGGAAUGAGACAUGCCAGUUU
rnacentral:lncRNA from 1 species